UAGAAAUCGGUGGUGCAUUAUUCUAGUUAUACUGUCUACUACGAGGGUGGGGCUAAAAAUCCACUAAAGGGCACAUCGUUGAAGUUUCUUGUUGAUGCGCGGAAUGCCAGUUUUGUGUGUUUUCAGGAAGUAAGAUUAUAGGGAAUUAUGUAAUGGCAUACAUAAUAAUCCCCUAUCGUCGCGGAGGCUUGAAAUUUUUAGUGCUUUCAAGUAUAACCUAUAUAAAGUGCCAAGACACAAUAUAUAGCGUAGCCUGUCUUGAGUGGUAGUUUUGGGAUUAACAUCUGAGGUAAUUAUUAUUUGGCCAAAAAUAAUUAUUUAUAUCGGUUAUGAAAUUUCUACUGCAAAAGAGACUAGUAAUAGAGCUAAGUAUAUUAAGGAAAACUUCUAGAAUGUUUGCGUAAGCAUAAAAAUUUAAGGAUUAAAGUACGGACUUAAGUGGCAAUCUGGUAAUCAAUUAAUCUUUUGAUUAUUUUCUUUAAACGGAAACGGCUAAACAGUAAUGGUUAGUAGAAAAUAGAGAAAUUCGACCAGACCUAAACCGUAGAAUUUACUUAAAUUUUACCACCACAACUUUU
rnacentral:sRNA from 1 species